GCCUAAUCUAGGUGUUGUACUGUCGUCUGUUAUAUUUUACUUAAAAAAUUAGGCUGUUUUAGCUAGGAGAAACACUUAUUGAGUUUAUCACAGUAAUUGAAUGCUUCUAUAUGCCAUGCUCAGCCUCUCAUGUGACAAACUGUUAUCACUCCUUAUGCUUGUACUGUUAUAAAUUAUUGCCUCAAUAAUAAAAAGAGAAGGAAAAAAAUAAGUUUUAUAGAACAGACAAAUAAAGAUUUAAUUAGUACAUAUAAAAAUUCCAAUAAGGAUUUUUAUUGUUGUGGGAACUGUAUGGGAUGCAGAGGAAAGAAAAUCCAGUCCUUUUGCUCGAAUGUUAAUUUAAAAGAAGUUACAAUUAAAUAUUUUAUUACAUGUUAAUCUGAAAGUGUUGUGUAGGUGCUUGUGUCUAUGUGGCCUUCAAUAUGUGGGGAAGACAUCUAGAUGUCUGUCAACUAGGAUACACAAGUACAUAUACAACAUUAAAAGGGGUUUUAAAAAACAUAACUUUUCUCUGCAC